UACGUAGGGUGCAAGCGUUAAUCGGAAUUACUGGGCGUAAAGCGUGCGCAGGCGGUUAUGCAAGACAGAUGUGAAAUCCCCGGGGCUCAACCUGGGAACUGCAUUGUGACUGCAUGGCUGGAGUGCGGCAGAGGGGGAUGGAAUUCCGCGUGUAGCAGUGAAAUGCGUAGAGAUGUGGAGGAACACCGAUGGCGAAGGCAGCCCCCUGGGUCGACACUGACGCUCAUGCACGAAAGCGUGGGGAGCAAACAGG
rnacentral:rRNA from 1 species